GACGAACGCUGGCGGCGUGCCUAACACAUGCAAGUCGAGCGGGAACCUCAGGAGGGGUAACCCUUCUGAGGGGAGAGCGGCGAACGGGUGAGUAACACGUGGGCAACCCUGCCCCGGACGACCGGGAGUAACCCACGGGAAACCGUGAGCUAAUACCGGAUACUCCGGCGCGAUCGCAUGGUCGUGCCGGGAAAGCUCCGACGGUCCGGGAUGGGCCCGCGGCCUAUCAGCUUGUUGGUGGGGUAACGGCCCACCAAGGCGACGACGGGUAGCUGGUCUGAGAGGACGGCCAGCCACACUGGGACUGAGACACGGCCCAGACUCCUACGGGAGGCAGCAGUGGGGGAUCUUGCGCUAAUGCGCGAAAGCGUGACGCAGCGACGCCGCGU
rnacentral:rRNA from 1 species